AUAAGAAGUUUUACACGCCCAGAAACACGAAAACUGCUCUUAAUAUUCCCAAGUCUCGUCUGACCUUUUCACUAAAGUGGUCUUGAGAUAUUGGCCUCACAAGCAAGGGAUGAAUAUGAAGCCCACUGCCCUUGACCUAUGACCUACGACUCCGAAAUUAGUUCACCCUGAAGUCAGAGUGGACAUUUAUGCAAAAGCUGAAGAAUUCCCUCAAAGGUUGUUGGGAUGUCGCUUUCACAAGAAUGACCAGGACAUACAUGUAUGGAGAGAGGACUCAUUCUUCAAGGACACAAAGGAGUGAUUCUGUGCAGACGCAAGGCUUGAGUCAUUGAUGGAGCCAUGGAGGGUCAGCCGCUGGGUGAAGAAGCAGGCCUGUUGUGAUGGACAGGAUCAGGGCGGGACAAACAUAGAGAUGAAAAACACAGACACUGGAGAGAGACUGCUGUUGUUAGGCUACAUCAUUGAGGUCAGCUAGUACCAGAGUCUGUUCUAAAAAAAGACACAGAAACACCAACACACUCCAGGGUUUGGGAGUAAAAUAAAAUUAAAUGGUCAGAAUGUAAAGUGCUGGGUGCACCAGAGGAAUUCUGUACGGUCUGUUUCUGUGCAACUGAACCGUCACAAAGUCACACAUUCCA